AUUGAACGCUGGCGGCAGGCCUAACCCAUGCAAGUCGCGCGGAGCGGCGGACGGUUGAGUAAUGCCUAGGACUCUGCCUGGUAGUGGGGGAUAACGUCCGGAAACGGGCGCUAAUACCGCAUACUAUCAGAUGAGCCUAGGUCGGAUUAGCUAAUUGGUAGGGUAAAGGCCUACCAAGGCGACGAUCCGUAACUGGUCUGAGAGGAUGAUCAUUCACACUGGAAGUGAGACAGGGUCCAGACUCCGACGGGAGGCAGCAUUUGGUAAUAUUGGACAAUUGGCGAAAGCCUGAUCCAUCCAUGCCGCGUGUGUGAAUAAGGUCUUCGGAUUGUACAGCACUUUAAGUUGGGAGGCGUUACCAACAGAAUAAGCACCGGCUAACUUCGUGCCAGCAGCCGCGGUAAUAC
rnacentral:rRNA from 1 species